GGUUAUUUGAUGUGAUUCAAGCUUUGUAGAGUAUUGGUAAUAAUGGAAAACAUUUUUGUACUUUUUGGAACACCGAUCUAGCGCCGGUUCUACUACUAAGAACGCUUUAGCGAACACUUCCUGAACCAGUUCUGCCAGUGCAGCUACCAAAAACAUACCUAUAAACAAUGUGCACUAGCCGUAAAUAUAAUCGUGUAUUAAAUCUUUGUGUAAAUAUCAAAACUAUUAUUUAAUUGAUAAGAUUCAAUUGUCAUGAUGUACCGAAAAGUGGAGAUGAGACGCCCAAUAAGGACGACGAACAUCCUGUUACAAUAGGAGGGAAUACGACGACGAGGAAGCCUUAGGGUCCCGCAAGUACCUACACGGUGGACGAGAAAAAUAAAUCGAAGUUUUCUGUAAUAAAAACCUGUAAUUCGAUAUCUAUUUAAUCAAUAAUAAUUCACUACUAUCCAA